UACGGCUGUAUCACAUUGAAACACCGGUUCCUUUACAAUCAUCGAAGUUAAGCAACGUCGUGACCGGUCAGUACCUAGAUGGGUUACCGUUUGGGAAUACUAUGUGCUAUA